rnacentral:rRNA from 1 species
GAUGAAAGCUGGCGGCGUGCCUAAUACAUGCAAGUCGAGCGAAUGGAUUAAGAGCUUGCUCUUAUGAAGUUAGCGGCGGACGGGUGAGUAACACGUGGGUAACCUGCCCAUAAGACUGGGAUAACUCCGGGAAACCGGGGCUAAUACCGGAUAACAUUUUGAACCGCAUGGUUCGAAAUUGAAAGGCGGCUUCGGCUGUCACUUAUGGAUGGACCCGCGUCCCAUUAGCUAGUUGGUGAGGUAACGGCUCACCAAGGCAACGAUGCGUAGCCGACCGAGGAGGGUGAUCGGCCACACUGGGACUGAGACACGGCCCAGACUCCGACGGGAGGCAGCAGUAGGGAAUCUUCCGCAAUGGACGAAAGUCUGACGGAGCAACGCCGCGUGAGUGAUGAAGGCUUUCGGGUCGUAAAACUCUGUUGUUAGGGAAGAACAAGUGCUAGUUGAAUAAGCUGGCACCUUGACGGUACCUAACCAGAAAGCCACGGCUAACUACGUGCCAGCCGCCGCCGUAA